rnacentral:rRNA from 1 species
UGGGGAAUAUUGCACAAUGGGCGGAAGCCUGAUGCAGCGACGCCGCGCGGGGGAUGAAGGCCUUCGGGUUGUAAACUCCUUUCGACAGGGACGAAGCUCUUGUGACGGUACCCGUAUAAGAAGCACCGGCUAACUACGUGCCAGCAGCCGCGGUAAUACGUAGGGUGCGAGCGUUGUCCGGAAUUACUGGGCGUAAAGAGCUCGUAGGUGGUUUGUCGCGUCGUCUGUGAAAUUCCGGGGCUUAACUCCGGGCGUGCAGGCGAUACGGGCUGACUUGAGUGCUGUAGGGAAGACUGGAAUUCCUGGUGUAGCGGUGAAAUGCGCAGAUAUAAGGAGGAACACCGAUGGCGAAGGCAGGUCUCUGGGCAGUAACUGACGCUGAGGAGCGAAAGCAUGGGUAGCGAACAGG